rnacentral:lncRNA from 1 species
UUUCACCACUUUUGACCCCUUGCCCUAUAAGUACCACAUGUCUCCUUUUAUGUGAUUGUAAAUUGUAAUAACAGUUUAAUAAAACUAUAAAGUGUUAAACAAGUGAAAGAAAACACAAAAAGAUGAGUAACAUUCAAUUGUGGUUUACUUUUGUAUUGGCUUUGUUACUCCACAAUUCAUUUGCCCUUGUUGUACACUCUUACCCACACCCACCACCACCACCUGGGUGCCACCAGCAUGUGCCGCAACCGCCUCCAAAAUAUAGGCCUCGUAAGACUCCACCUCCGCCGCCGCCCGCCGCGUUCUACUUCUUUUCUCCUCCACCUCCUAGUUCUCCCCAUUUUCCUAGGUCUCUGGGUCCAUUACAUCACUAAGAGGAUUAUUUUUAAUUAACUUGCCUAAUUAAGCACAGAAUCAAUGUUGUUGCAUUUAUUUUACAAUAUGAAUUACUGUUAGUAUUGUUAUAUUAUAGUGCAUAGUACUUAACUACUUAACUUAAUGUUAUUGUUAUGUUUGAUAAUGCAUGGUACUUUACUGAAUGUUAGUAUUUUUGAAUGUUAUGUUUGUUAUACCAUCUUUUUAUAUUUGCUAUUGAAUACUUAACGCAAAUAUGAUCAUUGCAACUGUGAUUUUUGAAAAGAAC